GAAGAGGGAGAUGCAGACACUUUCUGGUGUGGGGUGGACAGGGACAUAAGUGUCCCCCAGGACCUGCUGGCAGUGACUAUUUUUCCAGGCUCAGUGACAGUAGCAAUGAGGACCACAGAGACAUCGCCCAGCAUGGGAGCCCUGGCUCUGACCAGCCAUGUGUCCAGCCCUGGCCUUCCUGCCUGGCCCUUCCUGCUCUCAGCGGGCUUCCUGUUCCUGGCCCUGCGGAAGGUCAUCCUCUUCCUGAGCUUCUGCUAUGCUGCAAUCUGGUUGGCCUGCCUUCAGUGUCACCUCUGAGGGCCGUGGGCAGCCCGGUCCAGAGAACCUGCGUCUCCCACCCCGGCGACUCCCUGUCUGGUGACACAGCUCCUGGCCUCUCUGCCUAAACUCAGCCCUGACAUCUUCCUGGGAUGUGAAAUUGGAAAUGAGUCGGAC
rnacentral:lncRNA from 1 species